GGGAUGGGAAAGAAGCACUCACACAACCCCUGAGAAUCGGCAACAGAGUUCUUUAUUGUCAGGACAUCUUGCAGGUGAGCCUGCAGGGUGUCUGUGGUGUUUCGUGGCUCCAAGCUAAUGCUUGGGAUGGAGCCUGAGCAACGAGUAGGGAGCUCGCCGGGCACUGCUGCGACGCUGUUUGAGCGCUCGGAAGACAGGUAGCAAAGACCUGCCGGGGUAGUUCCAGGUCUGCUCUGGCCGAGGUGGAUCCACUUCCAUUGAUUCCUCCACAUCUGGUGGAUCCAUCUCCAUGGGCUCCACGGUGUUUGGCAGAAGGACAAGCCAGCCCUUGCCCGGGACUGCCCAAACAGGAUGCCUUCCAUCGGGAAUGUUUUCAGGCCAGGGUGCUGAACCAGGGGGUCGUCCAGUUCCACGCUGAGGUCCCAUGCCACUGUCCAGUUGAUUUCCAUGCAUGGGUUCAACAUUGCCGUCUGUUUCACGGCCAUGGCUGGGUCCCACACUGUGUUCUGGACGAUUGGCAUGCCUCCGCUCCCGCGGCUGUCUGCCUGGCGCUCCUGCCUUUGCCCCAAGCCACCGUUGUUCCAAUGGUCAGACCCAGGCCCCCUGUCGCUGUGUGUUUGAGGGGCCGGCCUGUUCCCUGCGUCAUUGCGGUGCCAAUGGUACCGCCUGUAAGUGUCUGUGGGCUGUGCGCCAGAGGUCCCUCGAGCACUGGUGUCAGUUGUGCUGCAGGCGCUUUCCCUCUGCCCACAACACUUCUUCUCGUUAGGUGCGUUCCUUCUCGGUGCUUCCUUGGACUGCAUAGCUGUCCUCUCACACCGAGGAGGCCUGCUGCUCGCCUUGCUGUUUCUAGUCGUCUUCCUGCCACACAAGAUGGCUGUCAGAGGGCCUAGAAGCUCAGUGAGUGGUGGGACAGCUGCAGGGGUCCUGUUUUAUAGGGCCCAGAGCAAAGGCAGGGCAGUGGUGGCCACUGUGACCUCAGCAAGGCUCUGUGAUGGAGUGGCCCACACGUGGCCAAAGGCGGCGGUGUUGGGAGCAGCCUGGAAGAUGCCCUCACGUGGAAGAAGAAGGAGGGUUGGGGGGGCUGAGGGCCCCUUUCUGGGGCUGGCUCCCCCAGGCCAUUUGGCUUGCCAGAGAGAAAGGCUGCCCCUCAGCCACAGGGUCUGCCCUCCACCUCCCAUCCUGUGCCCUGGGUUUAUUUUUAACACCGUUUUUAAGCUUGUUUUCUCAUGCAAGAAGGGAAAGAAAAGUGAGGCAGAGGAAAAAAGAUACGCUUUGAGCACCUGUGCUUCAAUGAGUCUUGUUCUCCACCGCCAUCACCAAAAGGUACUCACGAGUGUGACUGUGCAGGAGGAAGAUGUCGGCCCAGUCCCAGAUGUGCCUUUAAAGAGCUCUGCACCAAGGGACAAAAUCUGAGCUGCAGCAUAGCGCUGUCUAUGGGGGACGUGUCAAAGUGGCAAAGCCAAGACUCGUCUUCUGCAUCCACAGAGGUAGGGGCUGUAGACCUGAGCUUUAGAUGGUGGAAAGACUUGUAUCAGCUGGGCACAUACAAGUAGUUUCAGAAAGAGUUGUUUCCUUGUGAGAAAUGUGGGAAAAUGUAGGGGAAAAAAAGACCUGUCUCUCCAGCCUUGGCUGUUGCAGGGUCUACAGAGGCAAGGUCAGUUUGGCAAACACUGCCACCAGGAUCAGGGACCCAGAUAAGGCACAGGAUUAUGGGAUGUUCAAGCUUGUGAGUGAUACAUAAAAUAUGGGCUUUGUGCCCAUUCUGCAAGUCUCUUAGUGAACCUGUUUUCUCUAGUGACUCUCCUCAAAUUCCUUUUUGUUUUAAAUGUAUAAGCGGUAAUCCCACUGGUUUCUAAACAGAGUUCAUACCAAAAGCGUGACCCUGAGAUCCUGAGUGACAAGUGAAGGGUACUAAUGGGCAUUUUAAGAGUUUCAUUACAACAGAUAUGUCUUUCAUUGGGUUCUUUGGAAGUUAUUUCUGUGAUUUUUUUAAAGGCUUGCUCUCUAAACCAAGCAGUAAAUUACACAAAGCAACAUGUAAAAGUAAAGGUGGUAUAAUGUGCUAGCCUUUUUUAAGAGCUUGUGGUUAAAUAAUGUUUUACAGCAGCAUAACACUUCAAAGGACAGUGAUCUUUCACAAGCUCCCGGUGAAAGGUUGGGCACCUUCCACUCACAGCCACCACAAGAGGGAUGGAUGCUCCUUGGCCACCUUACGAGGCCGCCCAGCAGCCCUCAGGCUGCACCUGCCUUAGAAGCAAAGGUGGUAAUUUGGGCCUGUCAGCUGCUAAAGGCCAAAUGCCAUGUAGUAAUGGGAGCAGAGCUCACAGACAGAUCAAUCCCAUUCAAAGCUGAGGAGACCCCUUGGAGAUAAUGGGAUUACCGUGGUGGCCCAGUAAGUGUCGCCUGUUGGGAG
ensembl:lncRNA